rnacentral:rRNA from 1 species
UACGAAGGGGGCUAGCGUUGCUCGGAAUUACUGGGCGUAAAGCGCACGUAGGCGGAUUGUUAAGUCGGGGGUGAAAUCCUGGAGCUCAACUCCAGAACUGCCUUCGAUACUGGCGAUCUCGAGUUCGGGAGAGGUGAGUGGAACUGCGAGUGUAGAGGUGAAAUUUGUAGAUAUUCGCAAGAACACCAGUGGCGAAGGCGGCUCACUGGCCCGAUACUGACGCUGAGGUGCGAAAGCGUGGGGAGCAAACAGG